UCGAGAAUAUUCGACAAUGGGGGAAACCCUGAUCGAGCGACGCCGCGUGAAGGAAGAAGCCCUUCGGGGUGUAAACUUCUUUUCUGCCAGAAUAAGUCGCAAGACUGAAGGUAUGGCAGGAAUAAGGGGAUGCAAAUUCUGUGCCAGCAGCCGCGGUAAGACAGAAUCCCCAAGCGUUAUCCGGAUUUAUUGGGCGUAAAGCGUCUGUAGGUGGCGAGAAAAGUCUUUAGUUAAAAUUCCUGGGCUUAACCUGGGAGGUGCUAAAGAUACUUUCUGGCUUGAGGGCGUUAGGGGCUGACGGAACGGUCGGUGUAGGAGUGAAAUCCAUUGAUAUCGACCGGAACACCAAAAGCGAAGGCAGUCAGCUAGGGCGACCCUGACACUGAGAGACGAAAGCGUGGGGAGCAAAAAGG
rnacentral:rRNA from 1 species